rnacentral:rRNA from 1 species
UACGGGGGAGCAAGCGUUGUUCGGAUUUACUGAGCGUAAAGCGCGUGUAGGCGGCUUUGCAAGUCGGGUGUGAAAGCCCUCAGCUCAACUGAGGAAGUGCGCCCGAAACUGCAGAGCUUGAGUGCCGGAGAGGGUGGCGGAAUUCCCCAAGUAGAGGUGAAAUUCGUAGAUAUGGGGAAGGAACGACCGGUGGCGAAGGCGGCCAACCUGGACGGU